rnacentral:tRNA from 1 species
CCCCUAUAGUAUAAGACAUUACAAUGG